AAUAUAGAUUUAUAAUCAACAGCUGUUGUUAGUUUUCCAUGAAUAAAAUAAAAAUUGAAUUGAAAUUUGAAUUUUGAAUUACCGACCCUAAUAUGAAUGUUAGGUAUGGCAGUUAUGGAUUUAAAAAAAUGCAGAAUUUAAAAAAAAAAUAGGCAGAAUGCAAAUGCAAAAAUAUUUAACAAAUAAUUUAUUGGAAAUUUGUUCGUCUAAAAUGAUUAUUAAGUGGUCCUUCGUCUGAAUAUCCUGCUAUUUCUUGUGGAACAAUACCAGAUUCUUCUACCGAUGAACAUGGCCGACACAUGCAUUCCAAAGCUUUUGGACAAAAUAAUGAAACUGCUGCUUCACGUUCGCCAGAUUCUUGACAACACAUACAAGAACGCUCCAUUUGCCAUAUUUUACUUCCGGAAACCUUUUUGUUGUUGGAAAUUAUAAAAUCAAUGCAAUUUUAUUGAAGAUUUUUGGGAAGUUUUACCUGAAGGUAACUGGCACAGCGACCGACACAAGCAAAAGAUGGUAUUGGCUUUGGAACACAACCAGGAUAUUGUAAGACGUGUAUUACUGGAGUUACUUGGCAAUCAUCACCUAUAUGAGAUACUUCUGCAAAUAGAAAAAAAAUUAUCUUCAUGAAAAAAAAAAACAAAGCCACUAUACUUUUUUGUCAAGUUAUUCGAAGCUGUUCGCGUGCAGAAACUACCUAGAUUUGGCCAGGAAGACCUGUGAAUUAUCAUCUUUUAACUCCAUGAGU